rnacentral:rRNA from 1 species
AUACGGAGGGGGCUAGCGUUGUUCGGAAUUACUGGGCGUAAAGCGCACGUAGGCGGAUUGGAAAGUUGGGGGUGAAAUCCCAGGGCUCAACCCUGGAACUGCCUCCAAAACUAACAGUCUAGAGUUCGAGAGAGGUGAGUGGAAUUCCGAGUGUAGAGGUGAAAUUCGUAGAUAUUUGGAGGAACACCAGUGGCGAAGGCGGCUCACUGGCUCGAUACUGACGCUGAGGUGCGAAAGCGUGGGGAGCAAACAGGAUUAGAAACCCGGGUAGUCC